CCUACGGGUGGCAGCAGUAGGGAAUCUUCCGCACUGGACGAAAGUCUGACGGAGCAACGCCGCGUGAGCGAAGAAGGUCUUCGGAUCGUAAAGCUCUGUUGUUAGGGAAGAACAAGUACGGGAGGAAAUGACCGUACCUUGACGGUACCUAACGAGGAAGCCACGGCUAACUACGUGCCAGCAGCCGCGGUAAUACGUAGGUGGCAAGCGUUGUCCGGAAUUAUUGGGCGUAAAGCGCGCGCAGGCGGUCUUUUAAGUCUGAUGUGAAAUCUUGCGGCUCAACCGCAAGCGGUCAUUGGGAAAUGGGAGGCUUGAGUGAAGAAGAGAAAAGCGGAAAUGGACGUGUAGCGGGGAAAUGGGUGGGGAUGUGGAGGGACACCAGGGGCGAAGGCGGCUUUAUGGUCUGUAACUGACGCUGAGGCGCGAAAGCGGGGAGAGAAACCAGGAUUAGAGACCCUUGUAGUC
rnacentral:rRNA from 1 species